rnacentral:rRNA from 1 species
UGGCGGACGGGUGAGUAACGCGUGAGGAACCUGCCUUUCAGAGGGGGACAACAGUUGGAAACGACUGCUAAUACCGCAUAACGUACGGGUAUCGCAUGGUACUGGUACCAAAGAUUUAUCGCUGAGAGAUGGCCUCGCGUCUGAUUAGCUAGUUGGUAGGGUAACGGCCUACCAAGGCGACGAUCAGUAGCCGGACUGAGAGGUUGGCCGGCCACAUUGGGACUGAGAUACGGCCCAGACUCCUACGGAAGGCAGCAG